UUGCUAGAAGGCUCAUCAAAGCUAUUGGAAAGCUGAAUGAAUUGAAGCCAUAUUAAAUUGUGUUAGAACUAUGGCCACCACUUCUCUUCAUCUUCUAGUCAUUCUUCUUUGUUUUUCUCACCUUAUUUGCUUGAAUGCCAUCCCAAUUACAAGAAGCAGAAGGCUGGUGCAAAAAUCUCAAGAAAA